rnacentral:rRNA from 1 species
AGUGAACGCUGGCGGCAUGCCUAACACAUGCAAGUCGAACGGCAACACAGCAUCGGCUUGCUCCGACGGGUGGAGAGGGGCGGAAGACAGCGGAAUACACCGGAACUUACUUUUUAGUGGGGCGAAACGUAGGGUAAUAUACCAUACGAUCUCCUAAGAACUGCGGGGGAAAGCAAGGGAUUGUGGGGUCUUGCGGGACGAUGGCAGACUAGGUAGUUGGAGGGGUAAAGGCUGACCAAGGCGACGAUCUGUAGCUGGUCUGAGAGGAUGAUCAGCCACACUGGAACUGAGACACGGUCCAGACUCCUACGGGAGGCAGCAGUGGGGAAUAUUGGACAAUGGGCGCAAGCCUGAUCCAGCCAUGCCGCGUGGGGGAUGAAGGCCUUCGGGUUGUAAAGUGCUUUUGUUCGGAAAGAAAAGCAGUCUUUUAAUACAGGGCGGUCAUGACGGUACCGUAAGAAUAAGCACCGGCUAACUACGUG